AAUUCGAUUGAGUUUGAUCAUGGCUCAGGACGAACGCUGGCGGCGUGCUUAACACAUGCAAGUGGAGCGACGAACCAGGGCUUGCCCUGGGGCAGAGCCGCGAACGGGUGAGUAACACGUGGGUAACGUGCCCCGAUGACUGGGACAACCCGGGGAAACCCGGGCUAAUACCGGACAUGCCCCCUCACAUCAGUGAGGUGUGUAAAGGAAGCUUCGGCCUCCGCAUCGGGAUCGGCCCGCGGCCCAUUAGCUUGUCGGUGAGGUAAUGGCUCACCAAGGCUUCUAUGGGUAGCUGGUCUGAGAGGACGAUCAGCCACACUGGGACUGAGACACGGCCCAGACUCCUACGGGAGGCAGCAGUGGGGAAUCUUGCGCAAUGCGCGAAAGCGUGACGCAGCAACGCCGCGUGGGGGAAGACGGCCUUCGGGUUGUAAACCCCUUUCAGUUGGGACGAAGGUCGGGCGGUUAACAGCCGUUCCGGCUGACGGUACCUUCACAAGAAGCCCCGGCUAACUACGUGCCAGCAGCCGCGGUAAUACGUAGGGGGCAAGCGUUGUCCGGAAUCAUUGGGCGUAAAGAGCGUGUAGGCGGCCCGAUAAGUCCGCUGUGAAAGUCAAGGGCUCAACCCUUGAAUGCCGGCGGAUACUGUCAGGCUAGAGUCCGGAAGAGGCGAGUGGAAUUCCUGGUGUAGCGGUGAAAUGCGCAGAUAUCAGGAGGAACACCUACGGCGAAGGCAGCUCGCU
rnacentral:rRNA from 1 species